GUGCUCACUUCAGCAGCACAUGUACUAAAAUUGGAACAAUACAGAGAUUAGCAUGGCCCCUGGUCAAGGAUGACAUGCAAAUUCAUGAAGCAUUCCAUAUUUUU
rnacentral:snRNA from 1 species